AACUGGGCAGAUCUCAGAACUUGCAAAGUUAAAACGUGGCAUCUUCUGUAUCAGCAAGAAAUAUUAAGCUUCCUCUAUAAAUAUUCUUUUCUUCAUCUCCUAGAUAAUUAAGCAAGUGAAACUAAAAUACUUAGCUUGGAGAAGUAAUAAAUAAGAUUCAAGAAUUCGAUACUUCUGAGAGACAGCCUUUCGUAAUGUAGAUACAGU
rnacentral:lncRNA from 1 species